CACGUAGGGGCCAAGCGUUGUCCGGAAUUAUUGGGCGUAAAGAGCUCGUAGGCGGUUCGGCAAGUCGGAUGUGAAAUCUCCACGCUUAACGUGGAGGGGCCAUUCGAAACUGCUGUGACUCGAGUCCGGUAGGGGAGUGUGGAAUUCCCGGUGUAGCGGUGAAAUGCGCAGAUAUCAGGAAGAACACCAGUGGCGAAGGCGGUGCUCUGGGCCGGAACUGACGCUGAGGAGCGAAAGCGUGGGGAGCAAACAGG
rnacentral:rRNA from 1 species